rnacentral:lncRNA from 13 species
CGAAGCACAGGCUUGGGGCAACCCUGCCCUUGAAGAUGCUUCCUGCUUUUCAUUUCGUGAUGUGAGCUCAUCCCUCAUUCAGCCCUCCAGCUUCAUUUCCCUAACCUUGGGAUAAAGCUAUUUAAUCCUCUCUUUUUCCUCACAGCCAUCAUAAAGGGUGCAAGAUCAUUCCUAUUACCCCCUCAUGGCACAGGAGCGUCCCCGUUCCCCUUCAGGAUCUUCGCUGUCAAGGCCUCCUUCCUGGAGUGAAUCGCAGGCAGCCCUCAGGAGUGCACAGACCCCACUUCUGCAAGCAUGCGCUCCCACCCAGCACUGAAGGCUGCUCUACUCUGUGAUACACACAAGUCCCUUGGCCACUAAAAAGCCAGGGCUGACCUCCUCUGUGUACUUGUCCCAUUCUCCAUUGAAGAGAAUGGUCUACUCAGCCCCAUGUGUCCCUGAGAACAUGACCUGACAGUACAUGAAGGUUUAUUCCGAAUAACGACUUUUUUUUUUCUUGUUGCCCAGGCUGUAGUGCAGUGGCACGAUCUCAGCUCACUGCAACCUCUGCCUCCCAGGUUCAAGCGAUUCUCCUGCCUCAGCCUCCAGAGUAGCUGGGAAUACAGGCAUCUGCCACCACGCCCAGUGGAUGGAACCAGAAAGCCAGUGGCUGAGGAAGCAGGAGGAGCCAAAGUGGUGGAGGCAGCCUGCCUGCGGGUCCCAUUCCUGACUUUAAGAAAUGUUCUACUUGACAAGAGAUGACAGUGCCUUUAGGGAGGAGAAGGGACAUCUUUCCAAAGCAGCAAAUUCUUAUUGUGGAUGAAGUCAGUUCUUCAUUGGUCACAAGGACAACCCCAGAGAGUCACCCAUAGAGAAACCCUGUGCUUGGGGUUUGUCAAGGAAACGAGGAGACACGGUCUUAUUCUGUCACCCAGGCUGAAGUGCAAUGGUUUGAUCCUAGCUCACCGCAGCCUGAAACUUCUGGGCUCAAGUGAUCCUCCCAGCUCAGCCUCUCAAGUCUGGGAUUACAGGCAUGAGUCACUGUACCCAGGCUAAAAUUUCUAACAGAAGAAUUUAACAACACCAAAAGCUGCCAAAAUAGUAAUGGUAACAUAGAACAUGAAUAUUAAAGCAUGACUCACAUGUGUAUUGUACCUAUCACUUAUUUAAAGUACAUAUAGCAUCAAAUACUUCAAAAGAAAAUAGAUACCCUAGAAUUAAGACAGUAGAAACCCAUAUGGCUGGGCCAGACACUGUGGCACACACCUAUAAUCCCAAUGCUCUGGGAGGCCAAGUGGAUGGAUUAUUUGAGCUCAAGAGUUCAAGACAAGCCUGGCCAACAUGGCGAAACCCUGUCACUACUAAAAAUAAAAGGUAAAAAAAAAAAAAGAAAGAAAAAGAA